rnacentral:rRNA from 1 species
AGAGUUUGAUCAUGGCUCAGGAUGAACGUUGGCGGUACGCCUAAUACAUGCAAGUCGAACGGAGAUUGUAGCAAUACUGUCUUAGUGGCGAACGGGUGAGUAACGCGUUGGUGAUCUGCCUCGAAGUGUGGAAUAACGGUUCGAGAGAACCGCUAAUACCGCAUAGUCUCCCAUUUUUUAGAAAUUUAGGAGUAAAGGAUUUAUUCGCUUCGAGAGGAGCCUGCGUCCCAUCAGCUAGUUGGUAGGGUAAAAGCCUACCAAGGCUAUGACGGGUAGGGGACCUGAGAGGGUGGCCCCCCACAAUGGAACUGAAACACGGUCCAUACACCUACGGGUGGCAGCAGUAGGGAAUAUUAGUAAUGGAGGAAACUCUGAACUAGCGAUACCGCGUGCGCGAAGAAGGCCUUCGGGUUGUAAAGCGCUUUUUGGAAGGAUGAGGAAGGACGGUACUUCCAGAAUAAGUCUCGGCUAACUACGUGCCAGCAGCCGCGGUAACACGUAGGAGGCAAACGUUAUCCGGAUUUACUGGGCGUAAAGCGCGUGUAGGUGGUAUGGUAAGUAGGGCGUGAAAGCUCCUGGCUCAACUAGGAGAGGCCGUUCUAAACUACCGUACUCGAGUUUGGCAGAGGAAGAUGGAAUUCCAGGUGUAGCGGUAAAAUGCGCAGAUAUCUGGAGGAACACCAGUGGCGAAAGCGAUCUUCUGGGCCAAUACUGACACUCAGACGCGAAAGCUAGGGUAGCAAACGGGAUUA